GACGGAGGAUGCAAGUGUUAUCCGGAAUCACUGGGCGUAAAGCGUCUGUAGGUGGUUUAAUAAGUCAACUGUUAAAUCUUGAGGCUCAACCUCAAAAAUCGCAGUCGAAACUAUUAGGCUAGAGUAUAGUAGGGGUAAAGGGAAUUUCCAGUGGAGCGGUGAAAUGCGUAGAGAUUGGAAAAGAACACCGAUGGCGAAGGCACUUUACUGGGCUAUUACUAACACUCAGAGACGAAAGCUAGGGUAGCAA
rnacentral:rRNA from 1 species